CAAUGGGGGAAAAAAGGCACACUUGAAUUCUCCAAAAAGAAGGAAUAGGAUGAUUUUAAGAUUUUUUCACAAUCUUAAGAGACUUUCAUCGACACCUUCCUGUCCCGGUUUAGACCUGCAUUCUACAAGUGUGAUUCCACUCAAUGAAGAUUUCAUAACAAAACUUCAGCUUCCCACAGAGGCCACAGAAUCCUGAGGACAACCUGCAGGAAGCUGGGUCACUACUUUUUAUAAGUCAAAGCCUUCAAAUUUGACAAGACUUUUCAGCAUCUAAGAAUGUUUUGGUUUUCUGGGGCUUUUUAAACAAGAGAAUACCAGCC